rnacentral:rRNA from 1 species
UACUCGAGUGGCGAACGGGCGAGUAACACGUGGGUGAUCUGCCCUGCACUUCGGGAUAAGCUUGGGAAACUGGGUCUAAUACCGGAUAGGAACCAUCUUUAGUGUGGUGGUUGGAAAGUUUUUUCGGUGUAGGAUGAGCUCGCGGCCUAUCAGCUUGUUGGUGGGGUAAUGGCCUACCAAGGCGGCGACGGGUAGCCGGCCUGAGAGGGUGUACGGCCACAUUGGGACUGAGAUACGGCCCAG